GAUCCUGGCUCAGGAUGAACGCUGGCGGCGUGCUUAACACAUGCAAGUCGAACGAGGGAUUUUAGAUGAGACUUCGGUGGAUUCCGGAAUACCGAGUGGCGGACGGGUGAGUAACGCGUGGGCAACCUACCCUGUACAGGGGGACAACAGCUGGAAACGGCUGCUAAUACCGCAUAAGCGCACGGUAUCGCGUGAUACAGUGUGAAAAACUCCGGUAGGUACAGGAUGGGCCCGCGUUGGAUUUAGGGUAGUUUGGG
rnacentral:rRNA from 1 species